rnacentral:lncRNA from 1 species
GUGUAGAUGAAACACGCGUCUGGUGUAUUAAAUUAUAAGCCUGGUACCUUCGAUAACUUACUAUUAGCUUGUCGUAAUGUUGCAUUGUAUUUUUCUCUGUCCUGUAUGUUCCACCAUUUCUUUGUAUUGUAAGCCUGUCAUGUAAUGUUGUCAUUGCCAUUUAAGAAGCAGGUUUGGAAAGCCAUGAAACCAGGUUCAACCCACCAUUUUUUCGUAUAAUUCCUUUCUGUGUGCGGUGCAUUUUGUGUUUCUGUUGUGGCGAUGUUCU